rnacentral:lncRNA from 10 species
UAGCACUGAGGUGGUUUCAUGAAAGAGGAAGCAGCAAGGCUGGGCCUUGAAGAACGUGAAGGAGUCACCCAGCUAGAGAGGGCAGGAGGGUGUUCCACGAAGUACAAACAUCAUGAACAGAAAGUCAAAGAGUGAAAGUGAAGGGAGGAUUGGGGAGCAGUGAACAGACAAUGUGAGAGAGCUGCGGCACCAUGGAGAAGAGUAAUGAGAGGGACAUCCUGAAGGAAAGACAAUAUGAAGGACUGUCGAUGCCAAAGAAAGGACUUUCAGCCAUAUGCACGCAAUGGGGAGCAAUGCAAGAUUGUCAACCAAGAGACUGAGGUGCUGCUACCACAAACAUGAGGAAACUUCUGUUAGGAGUUCAACCUUCAGAGAGGACAGCUGGCAGUGCAAGAUGGUGACAGCCCUGCAAUCAGGAGAAGAAAGUCAUGAGAGUAAGGAAUGAUGGAGAGGGAUGAGAGCGUUUUCUAGGAUUUGAAGAGUUAAGAGACUCUGAAUAAUUGGCAGGGGAAGCUGGGAUGGAGAACAAAGUAGGAGAAGAAUCAUUUGCUGUGAACUCUGUAUUUGGAUUCCAUUUUUGAUGAUCUUUGAAAAUGGGAAUAAAGG